rnacentral:rRNA from 1 species
UACGUAGGGGGCUAGCGUUGCUCGGAUUCACUGGGCGUAAAGAGCACGUAGGCGGCUUUCUAAGUCAGGGGUGAAAUCCUGGAGCUCAACUCCAGAACUGCCUUUGAUACUGGAGAGCUUGAGUCCGGAAGAGGUGAGUGGAACUCCGAGUGUAGAGGUGAAAUUCGUAGAUAUUCGGAAGAACACCAGUGGCGAAGGCGGCUCACUGGUCCGGUACUGACGCUGAGGUGCGAAAGUGCGGGGAGCAAACAGG